rnacentral:rRNA from 1 species
GAUGAACGCUAGCGGCAGGCCUAAUACAUGCAAGUCGGACGGGAUUGGAACCAGAGCUUGCUCUGAUUCCAUGAGAGUGGCGCACGGGUGCGUAACGCGUGAGCAACCUACCUCUAUCAGGGGGAUAGCCUCUCGAAAGAGAGAUUAACACCGCAUAACAUCAGCAGUUCGCAUGUCCGGUUGAUUAAAUAUUUAUAGGAUAGAGAUGGGCUCGCGUGACAUUAGCUAGUUGGUAGGGUAACGGCUUACCAAGGCGACGAUGUCUAGGGGCUCUGAGAGGAGAAUCCCCCACACUGGUACUGAGACACGGACCAGACUCCUACGGGAGGCAGCAGUAAGGAAUAUUGGUCAAUGGGCGGAAGCCUGAACCAGCCAUGCCGCGUGCAGGACGACUGCCCUAUGGGUUGUAAACUGCUUUUGUCCAGGAAUAAACCUAAAUACGUGUAUUUAGCUGAAUGUACUGGAAGAAUAAGGAUCGGCUAACUCCGUGCCAGCAGCCGCCGCAGUAA